rnacentral:rRNA from 1 species
UACAGAGGGAGCGAGCGUUGUUCGGGAUUACUGGGCGUAAAGGGCGCGUAGGCGGUCCGAUAAGUCCCGUGUGAAAUCCCUCGGCUCAACUGAGGAAUGGCACGGGAAACUGACGGGCUUGAGUUCGGGAGAGGGAAGCGGAAUUCCGGGUGUAGCGGUGAAAUGCGUAGAUAUCCGGAGGAACACCGGUGGCGAAGGCGGCUUCCUGGAUCGACACUGACGCUGAGGCGCGAAAGCUAGGGGAGCAAACGGG